AGUGAGCGCUGGCGGUAGGCCUAACACAUGCAAGUCGAACGGCAGCACAGUAAGAGCUUGCUCUUACGGGUGGCGAGUGGCGGACGGGUGAGGAAUACAUCGGAAUCUACUUUUUCGUGGGGGAUAACGUAGGGAAACUUACGCUAAUACCGCAUACGACCUACGGGUGAAAGCAGGGGAUCUUCGGACCUUGCGCGAUUGAAUGAGCCGAUGUCGGAUUAGCUAGUUGGCGGGGUAAAGGCCCACCAAGGCGACGAUCCGUAGCUGGUCUGAGAGGAUGAUCAGCCACACUGGAACUGAGACACGGUCCAGACUCCUACGGGAGGCAGCAGUGGGGAAUAUUGGACAAUGGGCGCAAGCCUGAUCCAGCCAUACCGCGUGGGUGAAGAAGGCCUUCGGGUUGUAAAGCCCUUUUGUUGGGAAAGAAAAGCAGCAGGUUAAUACCCCGCUGUUCUGACGGUACCCAAAGAAUCAGCACCGGCUAACUUCGUG
rnacentral:rRNA from 1 species